GAAAAAUGGAAUCCAGAAAGGUUUGCUGAAGAGAUUUGGGGCAUAUUUUAUAAUGAACAUAACAUAUGAGCAUAACAGUCGUGAUUAACGUAUACAAUUAAAGAUAUGUGGAAAUGACUCCAUCUCCGACCACACAUCCUCUGAGUAAUUUUGAUGGGGAUGGCUUAUGUUCUACUGCCACCUCGUGGUGGGCAUUCUGUGAACAUGCAUCUUGGAACAGUGGGGAGAACCAGUUUGGACUUCUGAGGAUCCAAAAGCCCAAGAAAAAAAUCUGAGUUCUCACGACAAAGUCACUUCCUGCUACAACACCUGGAAAAUGUCAUGACCCGAGCUAGUCUCACUUCAGAGUCCCUGGUUUCUAGUACGGUGCCUGACAGAUAGAUGACUUUCUUUAUAUGUUGCUGAAGACAGGCAGAGAGGAAGAAAGGAAGAGAGGAUAAAGGGAGGAAUAAACUUGAUAUAAGCAUCUUUGCAUAAUUAACAACUGGGUCAAAUUUUCUUCAUUUCAUUGAGAUUCUUGAUACAAGCCUCUGCUGAUGAAUUGGAUUCCAAAAAGCAGAUAUUGUUGUCCAGGCCACACCAUACGGGACUUACCACUCCCAGUUGCUAACAUCUGCACGUAUUUGCCUGGAGGUCUCCUCUGGUCACCAGAUCCUACUCUGCCUGGGCCACAUGACAAGGUGAUGUGCUGAGGAACAAAAGCCCCCAGGAGUAUCCCUCAAGCAGUGUUGGACUGGAGUUGAGCAGGUCAUGAUCCACAUGAAAAACUGAGGGAAGACAUCCAGGACCUGCUGGAGAGCACAUGGAAAAAAGUUGGGACACAGAAAAGGAAAGCAGCAAGAGUCGGGCAGAGAUUGAUCCCCAAGGAACUUGGAAUACCAUGGGAAAGGUUAAUCGUCCUCGAAGAGAGAGAGAAACAAAAGAAAAAUGAAAAAAGGAAAGAAAUUUUCUCCACAAAGACUCAGAAAAGCUACAAUCCUAAGAAGUCAAAACUAUAAUCGGCUUGAGUUGAAGAAUCCAAGGAUCUUUACAGUUUUGUGACCUGUCCAAGGUUACACAGCUCACCUUUUCAUUUUGCACUGGGCCCAAGUUAUGUAGCCAGCCUGCUUAGAGAUCUCUACUUACCCCAGUUUUCUGAUUUAUAAAACAAAAAUAAUAAUAAUAUUGUUAAAUUAAAUGAAGCCUAAAGCUGCCUCCCUAUGUAUUUUUAAUUUGGCCUAAAGGUUUCUUCGUACAGAGUGAACUAUAACCUGACUAGAUGUGUGAUCUACUCUUGUGCCAAUCAUCAAGUUUUAACCAAUCGAAGGGAGCCAACUGCUUAAACCAUGUUCAAAUAAGGCAAAUGUCCAGCUGUAACCACUUCAGCUGUUUCUGUGCCUCACUUCUGUCUUCUACACAUCACUUUCCUUUUUCUAUCCAUAAAUGUUUUUUGAUCAUGCAGCAGCAUGAAGUUGAUCUGAACCUACUUUGGUUUGGGAGACUGCCCAAUUCGUGAAUCAAUUAAACUGUUAAAUUUAAUUUGUCUAAGGUUUUUCUUUUAGCAGUAGGUUCCCCAUAGGAGAUUUGAGAAGAUUAAAUAGUAAAAUAGAUGGAAACUGAAGAGCACAUGACAAUUACUUCUAAAUUUACCCAACAACAAUGUGUUGAUUGGCUACUGUGGAGCAGGCACUGUUCUAAGCACUGGAGAAAUGCUGUGGAAA
rnacentral:lncRNA from 1 species